ensembl:lncRNA
GUGACCUAAGAAUGAGCACUGCGCAUGUGCGGGUGUACAGUUGAACUCAGGUGGCUUUUGGACCCAAAAUAAUUUUGUGGAAACACGUUUGCAUUAAAAUGAAACCAACAAAUGAACGCCAGCUACAGUAACGGCAGCGAAAAGGUUUGCGAACGGACAGACUUUAAACAGCAGAAGAGGCGGAGUAGCUAAAGACUGACUGUUUUGGUUUUAUUUUUUCGCGGAGCUAAUAUUAAUGCUAGCUAACAAUGCUAACAACAACAACACCGGCACGAAGCUGUGAAAUGACCCGUCAGCUCAUUGCACUGGAAUUAACUCUACUGCACGGAAGAAAGUCCAAGAAGAAACACCUGUUUCAAGUCUUAAAGUGCUUCUCCAGCGACUGGGGGUUGCUUGGUGCCGGAUGGAGAUGGUGGCUUGCCAUGAGUGGUCUGCGUAGGACUGGCGAGUGUGAUGGCCUGGACAUUGUUUACUCAGACUGAACAGCAAACUAGCGAGGGAGGGUCGUCUGCUGAUUGAGCCACACCUGGGAUCAAGUGGCUCAAACGGCUUAAAAGCUCCCUCACUUCCAGCGUAUGGCUCUCUACUUUCUUCUGGAGCUCCAGCAGCAUGGUUUUGAGUUUCAGUUUGUGGUCUGUAGGGCACCUUUCCGGUUGUUUUGCGUGACAAUAAAACCAUUUUUAGUCACCACACUGUUGUUGUCUCCCUGUUUUGUUGCAGCCUUUGAGCCAAGCUGUAACAAUGGAGACUUUUAAUACAACAAAGCGACAUGGCUCCAUACUAAAUCAGCAUUUAAAGACUGUUUUGAUAUUCAAUUUUUAUAUUAAAAUGAAUAACUGUUUAUUUUCAUUCUGAAUUACUCAGUAGCUGCUAAUUAGUCAUGUACUAAAAAUGCUAAAAACAAAAUAAAUGCUCAUUCUGUUUGUAGUUUUAAAAAUAUCAUACCUGAUCCUUAGGCCCAGUGAGCAGGCACUGACCAACAACUAAAUUAGUUGCCGGCUAAUUUGUUCAUUUGUUUUGUCAGUUUUAUCAGUUAUUCAUUGCUUCCUUACUCCAUAGUCUCCAAGAUACACAGAAUACUGCCAACCUCAGCAGAGGAUAGAUGUAUCUCUCACAUAAUGCCCAAAACUAAAGAAUCAUGUGAAGCCACAAAGGCAGCCAUCUUGGCAUUGCUGGAAAUUGUCAUGAGUGAGAGACAGGUAGUGAAAAAACUGAAGAUCUCCAAGAUAGCAGUUCAUUACACCGAGAAAAAACAAGCCCAACAUUUUACUACCAAAUUGCUAGUUGGUCGUUUCAGGAAACGUCUUUCUAUCCACCAGGUGACUGUCCCUCAUCCAUUCCUGUGUCAGGAAUCGUUGUCAGACCUCCAGGGACCUUAAAAAUGAGUGGGCACUGUGGAGAAAUUGGACUUAUUCAGCAAGGACAGUUGGAAACCAACUUCUUGAAGCUGGACUGAAGUCACACAGGGCAGGAAGAAGCCCUUCAUCAAGGAAAGACAGAGGAAAGCUGGUUACUCUUUACUGGGAUCACAAGGAUUGGACUGUUGAUGAUUGGACUAAGGUUCUCUUCAGGGAUGAAUCCAGUUUUCAGUUGAUGUCCACUCCAGUCAGCUUACUGGUUAGGAGGAAGCCUGGAGAAGCUACAAACCAGACUGUCUUUGUCCUACAGUAAAACAUGGGGGUGGAUCAGUGACCAUCUGGGGUAGUUUCAGUCUGGGUGGAACAGGGCAAAUGAACCAGGUCAUGUUUGGGGCUACUCUUGAAAACAGUCUUCUUCCAUCAGCUGGAAAACUCUUUCCUGCCUCCAAUGACUGGAUUUUCCAACAAGACAAUGUCACUGACCACACGACAAGGUCAGUUAAAGCCUGGAUGGAGAACCAGAACAUUGGAACCAUGUCUUGGCUGCUCAAUCACCAGAUCUAAAUCCAAUAGAAAACCUGUGUAAAAUCAUCAAACGCAAAAUAGAGAACCACAAGCCCAAAAACAAAGCUAAUUAGUAGAAUUAGUGCAACAGGAAUGGGCUGCUGUGACAGCAGAAAAAUGUCAGAAGCUGGUGGAGAGCAGCCAAGAUGCAUGGAUGCAGUCUUUAGAAACAAAGGUUAUGCAAUCAAAUACUAAGUCCUGUGUGUAUCAUGUGACUAAAACAGACAGAAAAGAAAACAUGGAAUCCUAGAAGCUGUUUUUGGCAGAACAAUGCCAUAGAUACUGAUGGAAGAACUUAUAUGAUUUUGGUUAUUACCAAGAAAACCAUGGAAAAUGGCUAGAUAUCAGCUCUGAAAUGAAACUCUUAUGAGCUAUUUUUGUUAUCAUUAUAUUUGUCCAAACAAAUGUACCAUUUAGUACUACCAGGCAUUAAAAUGAA